rnacentral:tRNA from 1 species
UCCCUGGUGGUCCAGUGGCUAAGACUCAGCUUCCCAAGGCAGGGGGCCCAGGUUUGAUCCCUGGUCAGGGAA